AGAAUUCUUAAUGGUAUAAAUAGAAAUCUCCCAAGUCCCUGGGGUCAGUUCAGUUUUGGAAAUCAGUUUUGCGUGUUGUGCUGUAGUGCUGGGCCCACUCGGGCAAACCCCACCAUAACCUCUGCGCCCUAAGUGCCUGUUUGAGAUUCAGUGUUACCAUCAUUGUAUCGUAAAAGUGUAGUGUCAUAGUAAUUGAAGUGCUGUGAUAAAGUGUAGUGCCCGCCUUGGGAAACCCCCAUCGCAACCCACUGACUGAAAUCCUCGCUAGGAGUACCUACGAACGACUCCUCCUGGAACAACAGCAUUUCUGUAGCAUCACUCUCAAUGGUCUACGUAUUUGCCCUGCGCAAAUAUGCCGCGACUGAAAAAAAAAUCCGUCCACAUGAAAAUUGCUGCUGACCGGCAGAGGAAAGCAGCCACUAGGAAAAAGAAGCAGACAGAAACUAAAAAGAAACAAAAGGACAGAGAAAGGUAUGAACUGGAACGUGAAGAUAAAAUUGAGUCUUCAAAAGCUGCGCUUCAACGUCGCCUUGAAAGUUCUUCAAAGCGACAGGCCCACAAUCGCCGCAAUAAUGCAGCCCAGCAGCGUAGACUCAAGGAUCCAGUAAAAAGGCAGGCACAUCAAGCUCGGAACACCUCUGCCCAACAGCGCAGACUCAAGGAUCCAGAAAAUCGACAUGCACACCGAGCUCUGAUGAUCUCUGCCCAACAGCGCAGACUCAAGGAUCCAGAAAAAUGGCAGGCACAUCAACUUCGGAACACCUCUGCCCAAAGGCGCAGACUCAAGGAUCCAGAGAAGCGGAAAACCCAUCAGAUACAACUACGGAGAGCACAGAGUCACAGGCUUGCUAUUCCUUUACAGAGAAUGACCCAUAAAGAAAGGCUAAUUGCUGCACAAAGACGCAGACUACUGAAUCCAAUUGCUAAAGCGAGGCAUCGUGCUUGGAAUCGUGUCUGCAAAAAACGGAGGUAUCGACACGAUGCAUCGCAUCGCACCAAAGUAAGGCGGCAACUUAGAGCCUCAUAUCGGAGGAGGAGGCAAUUAAAGUCUGACAUGAUCAGACAAAAGUCCUUUACAUCGUAUCAAAAUGCAAUAAAAGAGGGUCCUUCUUACAAGUGCGACUGCUGUUUUCGUUUGUGGUUUAAAAAAAGUUUGAAAUCUCUGAAAAUUACAGAGAGAAAUUGUAAUUUUCUCCAAAGUAUUUGCAUAGAUUUGCAUAAAAAUAGUCAGGAUUCUGCGUCUCUGUGUUCUACUUGUUUCGUAUCACCAGCAUGUGGAGAUUCUGUUAGUCUAUGUUCCUCUUGUUAUGACUCUGUUCGGAAAAUGAAAGUCCCAGCACUUUCACUUUCGCAUGCAGCUUUAGAAUUCCCAAUUGUUCCUGAUGUGAUCAGAAAACUCACUUCAUGUGAGGAGCGGUUUCUGUGUCCAAGACUUCCUUUCAUGCAAAUACGCGAGGUUUUUGGUCAUGGACAAUAUGAAGUUCAUGGAAGAGUUGUGAAUAUCCCCACAAAGUAGAUAACAGUGUAAACAUAUUACCACGA
rnacentral:lncRNA from 1 species